UGUAGAUUUGUUGUUUGAUUUUUUAAUUAGAUGUGCAUUCUAAAUGUAUGAGGUCUUCCUCAAGCUGCUCUGGAUAACUGUUAUUUUUACGUAUUAUAUAGUAGUUAUGCAAACACUGAAUCGUAUUACGGGACUCGCACCACGAAAGCUCUAUAAUAGAAUUUGAUACAAGUCAAGCUAUUUGAAGAUUCUCAUGAAGAAUCCACCUCAUGAACACCUAUAUUGCAAUUGAGAAAUAAGCUUACUAGCCAGUGAUACUGCAAUCAUGAACAACAGAUAUGUAAACAGAAUAUUUCAAAUCUAAGCAGUAACUGAAUCCCUUCGCCUACGUAUGAAUGAAAUAUAGCUACACCAUAGAAACAUAUAGACUCUUAGUACAAAUACUGAUCUCAAAAUAGAAAUAAUGGAUAAAAUCAUUCAAAAAGUGGAGAUUGGCAGUUUUAUAUCCUGUGCAUUUCAAACGAUUCUAGAGAAGAGUUUAUUUCUUAGAGUUGCACGGUGGUUCGUUUGUUUCAUUUGUCAACAUAAACUCCUUUGAUGUCAUGGAAUGUCAUCAGAAAUUGAACCUUACGUUAAAAAGUGAAAAAUCAAUUUUAAUAGUGAUAUUAUUGAUGAUAUUGUUAAUGAACGACCAAUUAUUAGUUUAGUUUCUAGUACAAGACCAGUGAGCAAUACAUAUUUGGGAGCAUGCAUAGCUUCCACUUUAGAAAAAAUGCUAUGAUGAGUUAAUUUUUAAUAAAAUAUAUAGAUCUCAUUUAAUACAUUCUAUGAAAGGAGAUUCAUCAAAUGAAGAUGAAAAUUUUAUAUGUCAAAUAGAUUAUAUAAUAAAUAAGUUGUAAACAAGGUAUAUGAUAGAACUAUCUGAAAUUCAUUUGUAGACAGGAAGAAGAUAUUGAGAUAUGUGAAAGGUACCAUAAAUUUUGUUAGUCA